rnacentral:rRNA from 1 species
CCUACGGGAGGCAGCAGUGGGGAAUAUUGCACAAUGGGCGCAAGCCUGAUGCAGCCAUGCCGCGUGUGUGAAGAAGGCCUUCGGGUUGUAAAGCACUUUCAGCGGGGAGGAAGGCGGUGAGGUUAAUAACCUCAUCGAUUGACGUUACCCGCAGAAGAAGCACCGGCUAACUCCGUGCCAGCAGCCGCGGUAAUACGGAGGGUGCAAGCGUUAAUCGGAAUUACUGGGCGUAAAACGCACGCAGGCGGUCUGUCAAGUCGGAUGUGAAAUCCCCGGGCUCAACCUGGGAACUGCAUUCGAAACUGGCAGGCUAGAGUCUUGUAGAGGGGGGUAGAAUUCCAGGUGUAGCGGUGAAAUGCGUAGAGAUCUGGAGGAAUACCGGUGGCGAAGGCGGCCCCCUGGACAAAGACUGACGCUCAGGUGCGAAAGCGUGGGGAGCAAACAGGAUUAGAUACCCGGGUAGUC